rnacentral:rRNA from 1 species
AGAGUUUGAUCCUGGCUCAGGAUGAACGCUAGCGACAGGCUUAACACAUGCAAGUCGAGGGGCAGCAUAAUGGAUAGCAAUAUCUAUGGUGGCGACCGGCGCACGGGUGCGUAACGCGUAUGCAACCUACCUUUAACAGGGGGAUAACACUGAGAAAUUGGUACUAAUACCCCAUAAUAUCAUAGAAGGCAUCUUUUAUGGUUGAAAAUUCCGAUGGUUAGAGAUGGGCAUGCGUUGUAUUAGCUAGUUGGUGGGGUAACGGCUCACCAAGGCGACGAUACAUAGGGGGACUGAGAGGUUAACCCCCCACACUGGUACUGAGACACGGCCCAGACUCCUACGGGAGGCAGCAGUGAGGAAUAUUGGUCAAUGGACGCAAGUCUGAACCAGCCAUGCCGCGUGCAGGAUGACGGCUCUAUGAGUUGUAAACUGCUUUUGUACGAGGGUAAACGCAGAUACGUGUAUCUGUCUGAAAGUAUCGUACGAAUAAGGAUCGGCUAACUCCGUGCCAGCAGCCGCGGUAAUACGGAGGAUUCAAGCGUUAUCCGGAUUUAUUGGGUUUAAAGGGUGCGUAGGCGGUUUGAUAAGUUAGAGGUGAAAUUUCGGGGCUCAACCCUGAACGUGCCUCUAAUACUGUUGAGCUAGAGAGUAGUUGCGGUAGGCGGAAUGUAUGGUGUAGCGGUGAAAUGCUUAGAGAUCAUACAGAACACCGAUUGCGAAGGCAGCUUACCAAACUAUAUCUGACGUUGAGGCACGAAAGCGUGGGGAGCAAACAGGAUUAGAUACCCUGGUAGUCCACGCAGUAAACGAUGAUAACUCGUUGUCGGCGAUACACAGUCGGUGACUAAGCGAAAGCGAUAAGUUAUCCACCUGGGGAGUACGUUCGCAAGAAUGAAACUCAAAGGAAUUGACGGGGGCCCGCACAAGCGGAGGAACAUGUGGUUUAAUUCGAUGAUACGCGAGGA